rnacentral:rRNA from 1 species
GACGAACGCUGGCGGCGUGCUUAACACAUGCAAGUCGAACGAAGUGGCGAAUGGGUGAGUAACGCGUAAUCAACCUGCCCUUCAGAGGGGGACCACAGUUGGACACGACUGCUAAUACCGCAUACUGAAGGAGGGGAUUGCGUCUGAUUAGCUAGUUGGAGGGGUAACGGCCCACCAAGGCGAUGAUCAGUAGCCGGGCGGAGAGGAAGAACGGCAACAUUGGGAGUGAGAUACGGCCCAGAGUCCUACGGGAGGGAGCAGGGGGGGAAAGUGCACAAUGGGCGAAAGCCUGAUGCAGCGACGCCGCGUGGGGGAUGAAGGCUUGCGGGUUGGAAACCUCUUUCGCUAUCGAACGGGUAGGUGGAGAAGAAGCGCCGGCUAACUACGUGCCAGCAGCCGCGGUAAUUC